rnacentral:rRNA from 1 species
GAAGCCUUUUUCUCUCUUUCUUAUUCAAGUGGGGUUCUUGAAUUACCACUGUGAUGCUGAGAUAUGGGUCUUGAAGCCCUUUGUGAUUGCUUUCAGGCAUCUGAUCUUAUCCAGUAUUCUAAUAUCACUCAAGUUAUUGGUCAAGUUGAAAAGCAAUCCACUCUUGGAGGGGAGAGAAGAUAUGAUUGAGGGUUUGUUAAACCCAAGGUUGUAUUCUCUAUCUUGUCUCUCUUGAGUCUAGAGAACUUGAGAUAAUUGUCCAUAUUGGAAUUAUCAUAAACAUGGGCUCAUUUACAACUUUCAGCAAUGGAUCUCUUGGUUCUCGCAUCGAUGAAGAACGCAGUGAAAUGCGAUAACUGGUGUGAAUUGCAUCCAAGUAACUCUAAUUUACGAAUAACACCAAGUGAAUCAUCGAGUCUUUGAACGCAAUUGCGCCCUCUCGGUCGCUUCCAAUUGGGGGUUGACUCAUAGGGGGUACGUCUGUUCGAGGGUCAUUUGAACCUCUCAAAGGGUUUUUGGUUUUAAAACCCUUUGGAUUUGGGUCUUGCCGUGAAAUAUUCUAUCUUGGCUCACCUUGAAAGCAUUAGCAAAAGCUUCUCAGCACUUGAAAGUCUUUUCGAAUGAGGGCGUUGUUAAUUUGGUCAGGCCUCCUUGAGAGGAAUCUCAUACGUCUCAGUCAUGAAAAGUCUCAGUGAUUUUGAAACUUGCUUCCAAUGAUCCUUAUAAAAGGAUAGAGGCCCCUCCUGG